CCCUUAGAUGUCCGGGGCUGCACGCGCGCUACACUGAAGGAAUCAGCAUGCUAAAACCAUUGUCGAAAGGCAUUGGUAAACCCAUUAAAAUCCUACGUGAUUGGGAUCGGGAAUUGCAAUUAUUUCCCUUGAACGAGGAAUUCCCAGUAAGUGUGGGUCAUAAGCUCGCGUUGAUUACGUCCCUGCCCUUUGUACACACCGCCCGUCGCUGCCCGGGACUGAGCCGUUUCGAGAAAAGCGGGGACUGCUGCUGUCGGGGCUUUCGGGCCUUGGCUUCGGUGGAAACCGCUUUAAUCGCAGUGGCUUGAACCGGGCAAAAGUCGUAACA
rnacentral:rRNA from 1 species